rnacentral:rRNA from 1 species
GAUGAACGCUGGCGGCGUGCCUAACACAUGCAAGUCGAGCGGAGAUCUUGGAAGUAGCAAUACGGAAGAGAUUUUAGCGGCGGACGGGUGAGUAACACGUGAGGAACCUACCUUCAACUGGGGAAUAACACCGUGAAAACGGUGCUAAUACCGCAUAACGUUGCACCAUGGCAUCAUGGAGCAACCAAAGGAGCAAUCCGGUUAAAGAUGGCCUCGCGUCCGAUUAGUUAGUUGGUGGGGUAAUGGCCUACCAAGACAGCGAUCGGUAGCCGGACUGAGAGGUCGAUCGGCCACAUUGGAACUGAGAAACGGUCCAGACUCCUACGGGAGGCAGCAGUGGGGAAUAUUGGGCAAUGGGCGAAAGCCUGACCCAGCAACGCCGCGUGAAGGAAGAAGGCCUUCGGUUGUAACUUACUUUGUAUCGGGACGG